GAUGAACGCUGGCGGCGUGCUUAAUACAUGCAAGUCGAGCGAGGACCACUCGGUGGCAACACCGGGUGGCUCCUAGCGGCGAACGGGUGAGUAACACGUGAGUAACCUGUCCUUCACUCUGGGAUAAGCCCUGGAAACGGGGUCUAAUACUAGAUAUUCUCAAUGUGCCGCAUGGUGUGUUGUGGAAAGAUUUUUUGGUGAGGGUUGGACUCGCGGCCUAUCAGCUUGUUGGUGGGGUAGUGGCCUACCAAGGCUUUGACGGGUAGCCGGCCUGAGAGGGUGACCGGCCACACUGGGACUGAGACACGGCCCAGACUCCUACGGGAGGCAGCAGUGGGGAAUAUUGCACAAUGGGCGCAAGCCUGAUGCAGCGACGCCGCGUGGGGGAUGAAGGCCUUCGGGUUGUAAACUCCUUUCGCCAUUGACGAAGCCCUUUGGGGUGACGGUAGGUGGAGAAGAAGCACCGGCUAACUACGUGCCAGCAGCCGCGGAAAA
rnacentral:rRNA from 1 species